rnacentral:rRNA from 1 species
CUACUGAUCACAACAUGUCAAAUUGGCAUCGUGCGUGAUAAAAUAAGGGAUAAUAAUGAUGGAACCUUAUUACUAGUGCUGUCCAAAGCUGGUGCCAGAAGACUCGGUAAGGCCAGGGGCGCAAACGUUAGUCGUCUUAAUAAGGCGUAAAGGGUUCGUAGGCAGCUCAGAACAUAUAAUCUUAUAAUUAGUCUUAAUUAUAUAGAAAAUAAUACAAAGUUUUGGUUCAUAUUGUAAAGUUUAUUUUUUUAAUCUAAAAUACAUAUAUUGAUUAAUAAUAGUCCAGAUGUUAUUAAUUGCGGUUGAAUAAAGUUUUACAAUGUGUCUUCUUAAGGGAGGUUAUUUUUCUAUAUAAGGUAGAUAAGAAUAUAAUAAGUAAAGAGCUAGAAUCUUAUUGGGGUUAUAUUAAAUAAUACUUAGGGUAGGGAUAAAAUCCUUAGAUCCUAAGGGGAAUACUAAAGGCGAAGGCUAUUUUUCCACUAAAGAUUGACGCUGAGGAACGAAGGUUAGGAUAGGAAAAAGGAUUAGAUACCCAAGUACCCCUUACUGUCAACGAUGAAUGGUGUUUUCUAGGAUUCCGAGAGAACUAGUUUUUAUGCUAACGCGAUAACCAUUCCGCCUUGUGAGUACGGCAGCAAUGCUGAAAACAAAAAAAUUAGUCGGUCUCGAAGCAAACGAAGUGAAGCAUGUUAUUUAAUACGAUAAUCCGCGUAAAACCUUACCAGUUCUUGCAUACAAACUUCUAUUUUCAGACCCGGGCCUCCAACUAACAUCUGCACUGACCCUAUGCAUAGCUUGGGGUAAGGGCGGUAGAGUUAGGCAGAGGUUUGUUUUUGUUAAUAGGAGGAGUGUUAAUAAAUAUAAAUUUAAAAAAAUUAAAAAACACUUUGCUACAGGUGUUGCAUGGCUGUCGUCAGUCCGUAUCGCGAGAAGUUAGGUUAACUCCACUAACGGACGAAAUCCCUNUUAUUAAUUUAUACUUAAUAACUAAUGGUUAUGAUAGAUUCCAUUGG